GUCUACGGCCAUGCUACCCUGAACAAGCCCGAUCUUGUCUGAUCUUCUAAGCUAAGCAAGGUUGGGCCUGGUUAGUACUUGGAUGGGAGACCACCUAGGAAGAGCAGGUGCUGUAGGCA
rnacentral:rRNA from 1 species